GGGGAGGGAAAUAAUAGUACCGAAGUUCCUGAUGUCACACUGCCGAGAAAAGCUUCUAGUGAGAAAACAACGACCCGUACCGCAAACCGACACAGGUAGUCGAGGAGAGAAUCCUAAGGUGAGCGAGAGAACUCUCGUUAAGGAACUCGGCAAAAUGACCCCGUAACUUCGGGAGAAGGGGUGCUGAUCUAAGAUCAGCCGCAGUGAAUAGGCCCAAGCGACUGUUUAUCAAAAACACAGGUCUCUGCAAAAUCGUAAGAUGAAGUAUAGGGGCUGACGCCUGCCCGGUGCUGGAAGGUUAAGAGGAGUGCUUAGCGUAUGCGAAGGUACGAAUUGAAGCCCCAGUAAACGGCGGCCGUAACUAUAACGGUCCUAAGGUAGCGAAAUUCCUUGUCGGGUAAGUUCCGACCCGCACGAAAGGCGUAACGAUUUGGGCACUGUCUCAACGAGAGACUCGGUGAAAUUUUAGUACCUGUGAAGAUGCAGGUUACCCGCGACAGGACGGAAAGACCCCAUGGAGCUUUACUGUAGUUUGAUAUUGAGUG
rnacentral:rRNA from 1 species